GAGGCAAACAGGUGGCAGAUUUGGUUUCUCUCGGAUGCGUUAGGAAAAAGGGAAAGGUAAGAAAGAAAAUCCAAACUGGCCGACCGUUGCUAGCCCCUCCCCUUAAAUUGUCAGCAGUUUGAACGGAGGUUAGGGUUGAUAAGUUCAUUUAGUUCUGGUGCUUCCCUUCGAUUGUUUGUUCACUUUCUGAGUUAAUUUCACAUUCCAUGUGAUGCAGUUUCAUUAGUUCUACGCCGUUGAAAGUGAUCAUCAUUCAAGCAAAGAGUCAGAAUUCCAAGGCAGUUCCGAUGGCUUAAAAUGUUCAACUGGAAGCGAACGUGUCUCGUCCGGAGUCAUUGGAACUCAAAAAUAUAAUAAAUCCAGGAAGAGACUGUUAAUGCGAUUCAACUUCAUGAUGAAUCACAGCAGCAAGAUGUGCGUCUAAAUUCCCCUGCAAAACGUGUGACUAGCCAUAUCCUUUUUGAAACAAGUUUGAUUCCUGAACUUGUUCUGUGUCUUUCUCGACGAACUGAAUAGAACUCUGUUUUCCUACUUCAACACCUUUUGGAAGUUUCGUGGUGAGUACGUUGAACGGGCAGAUGAACAGCCUUCACCAAAGUCUGGUGCUCGUUAAAAGACUGGCAGACACGCUUGGGACGACGACUUUAGCGAUAAUCAUCGAAGAUGUUCUGGAAAGAGACUCGUGAAAGACUUUCGGAGAUGUGGAAAGAUUAAUCUGAAGAAAAACUGGCGACAAGUUUGGUGGAGCUUUCAACGAGAUUUGCUCAAUCCAGAGAAAUAUUCGUGAAUAUUUUGACCAACCAACUCCACACGAUAAAUAGCUUUAGACCGGGAUUUCACAAUCAACGUUCAUCGAUUCUUCUUCUAAUUAAAAUGAAUAUUACGAAAUUCGUUAUUUAGCAGUUGACGACAAUUGGGUUUCAUUUGGCGUUCGAAAUACUUUACGCCUGCUAUUAUCUGAAUCACGUGAAAGGGAAUUUAAAAUAGAAAGAAAUACAAAGAUAAGUUAAUUCAAAUAACGCUGGUCAAUUUAGAAGUCUGAGCAAGUGGGUAAAACGUAAUUGUAUUCUUUGUUUGUUUUUUGCUUAAUUCUAUUUAGACAAAACCAGAAGAGAAAUUUUCUUCGUUAUUAGCGGCAGAUUGAUUGGGCUGGAUUACUCAGCUAGAAUCGUCUUUGGCUGAUUAAAUUCAUGGUUUGAGCCACUAAAUAGGAGAGCUCCCAUCCCAUGGAAUUCUCUAUUGCAACGGUAUCCAGUCUCAUUUUAACCUUCGCAUUAGGGCCAGUGGCGUUAUUCAACGAUGCUAUACCCACUUCGGUUCCCUGAUGACAAAGGCCUUUGCAGUUGCAGACCAAGACGUUGCAUCAUCCAACCCCGCAGUACGGAAUUCCAGCUGUUCCAUCCAGACAACAGCAAUCGGUUUGCUUGUAGCAACAAUCGGCAUCCACCAGUCCACACGUCAUCGCAAGAAUAGCGAAAACAACAGAGAUGCCGCACGUAAGUGUUGUCUUUGACAAGUUUCAGUCUGUGAGAUCAUAAGUUGAACAAUCAAUCAACAUUUAACAAAAUAAUUUAAUUUCUAACUAUUGGUUUCUAAAAUUCUGAUCUGAAUUUAAUGCCACUUGUUUUACGUACGUUCUAAGUCUAUUAGCUGAACAUCUACCUUAAUAAUUAUUGUAUUGAAGCCUUUUUGUGAGACCAUUCUAGGUCACUUCAUGAACAGGGAAGUCAAAUGAACCUUUUUACAUUGCAACUCUUUGUAACUGUGAAUCCAAGGAUCGUAGUGGAUGCGGUAAACUUGCAUAGCCUUCCCGAAGGUUGCCGAUGAUUCUGUCCAUCCAUCAUCUAUUCAUCUUAAACAAAUGGAAAAUUAAGGUGCUGCAAGGACAAAAUGUGAUUAAAUGAUGAAGCAGGCAGAAGCCCAGAUCUUUCUUUCUAUGUUUCCAAACGGACAGCGAAUUUCUCUUUUUUGCAUCGUUAAUCGAACGCGGGACACGUGAAUUACUGUAAGAAAUGGACAAGCUGAAGAAAUUUCCACGCUUGUUGUAGAAAUGGGCAUCCCAUCAACAGCCUCUGUAUCUUCCAGCUGAAACCAAUGAGCAAGUCGAGCUUCUUGUAGCGCCUUUCUCGCCUCCUGCUGAGCCUUCAUCUUCUUUGCCCCUCUGGAAUUUGAUACUCAGCUGUUCCGCCGAAACCAUGGACGCCUGGAAACGAUGUCAAUGGAGUUGUUCUUCAGGGACGUUACAAG
rnacentral:misc_RNA from 1 species